rnacentral:sRNA from 1 species
AGCAACGGGCCCCGCGGCAGCUGCGGGCGACGCGGUCGAUGGACAUGGGCACCCAGGGAUCGGGGCGCAAGCGGCUCCCCAACCGGGAGCGGCUCACGGCGGAGGACGACGCGCUCAACCAGAUCGCGCGGGAGGCGGAGGCCCGGCUCGCUGCAAAACGGGCGGCCCGCGCGGAGGCUCGCGAGAUCCGCAUGAAGGAGCUGGAGCGGCAGCAGAAGGAGGAAGACAGUGAGCGCUACUCUCGUAGAUCCAGAAGAAACACAUCGGCUUCUGAUGAAGACGAGCGCAUGUCAGUGGGUAGUCGUGGAAGCCUGAGGGUCAGUAACCAGAAUGAUGGAGUUUGCAUGGCACAGUUUCUGGUCCAAACCCUUUACUUUCUCAUCCCCGCAUUCUGAUUUCUUCUCCAUUAUCCCCGUGGUCUGAUAGUCAAUAUUUAACUGAUGAGAUGCUUACUUAAAAUCAAAUCAAUGGGGGAUGUUUCUUCGUUGCUGUAGAGAGAUUAUUAAUAUGCAUAGGCACGUUGGUUGUUUCUUUCUCCCAAGAUGAAGUCGUCUUUUUUUCAAUACUUACCCACAUCACAAAGCUCCCAAGCCUUGAUUAGCCCAAUCGUCUCAGCACAUUGGUGUUCCACAGGAAUGCAAAGGCGCAUCUGCCCUUCAGUAAGUCUGUAUCCACUGACACCCAUGCUCCUGGUAAAAUCGGAACCUCUAUUAAAGUAGCUGUAAGUUAAUUAUUAUUGAGCAAUGUUUUGGCAUAGCCACUAUAGACUGCCUGCUGAAAACCUGGACCAGGACUGGAUCCGUAAGAUCUGCCUUCAGCCGCUUUUCCUUGUAUUAGUUAUAAUUAGAUCUUUUCACCACUGAUAGGCUUAAUGGUUAAUCAACACAAAUAUGGACUUUUCCUUAAACAUUCCAGAAACCUUAAUAAUUAUACUUGAAAAAAGUGUGAGUUUGGGGGGAAGUAAAAUAGAAAAACUAUGUUUUGCUCAGUGCUUUAAGUCAGUGAAUUAAUCUGAGCAUGUCAGUUUCUUUUACUACAGGAUUGAAAUUACAUCUCACCGCUAGUAAUAAAUAAAUCUCAAAGCAGCCACUCUGCUUUAUUAAUCCUUAGGGACCACGUAGAGCUGAAGGCUUGUUUCUCUUCACUGUGGCAAUUAAAUCCUAUUACUCCUUAACUUCUUAUACAUGCACUGAGUGUGCGUGUAAUUUGGCCCUUCCUAAUGAUAAAAUGUAGAGGUGAAACACGGUUGCUGUGCUGUGAAGCGACUCUGUCCUUGUCACUGUCCUUGCAGUGCCAAAAGCAGAUCCAUAGUGAUUUUGCCAAAAAACUGUGGUUCAAAUGUGAGGCCCCUGUGAGGGUUUCCUUGCUGUUUGAAACCUUCUCCUGAGACGUAGCCUCAGGGAUGCCAUUGUAACCGUUACCUUGGGACCCUCUGACACCACUCACCCCAGAAGAGGGAAGAUUUAUGGAUCCAAAAUAUAAUAAAUGCAAUGCUCAAUUAACAAAGUCUGUAGACAAGGCCCAGAGAUCACAGCUGUUGAGCAGGCCCAGGAGAAGCUUGAGUCCUUGAAACCAGUGAAGAAAAUGCUGUUUCAAGGAUGAGGGGGAGUGACCAAGAGAGGAGAAAA